rnacentral:rRNA from 1 species
GAGGGUUUGAUCCUGGCUCAGAGUGAACGCUGGCGGUAGGCCUAACACAUGCAAGUCGAACGGCAGCACAGGAGAGCUUGCUCUCUGGGUGGCGAGUGGCGGACGGGUGAGGAAUACAUCGGAAUCUACUUUUUCGUGGGGGAUAACGUAGGGAAACUUACGCUAAUACCGCAUACGACCUACGGGUGAAAGCAGGGGAUCUUCGGACCUUGCGCGAUUGAAUGAGCCGAUGUCGGAUUAGCUAGUUGGCGGGGUAAAGGCCCACCAAGGCGACGAUCCGUAGCUGGUCUGAGAGGAUGAUCAGCCACACUGGAACUGAGACACGGUCCAGACUCCUACGGGAGGCAGCAGUGGGGAAUAUUGGACAAUGGGCGCAAGCCUGAUCCAGCCAUACCGCGUGGGUGAAGAAGGCCUUCGGGUUGUAGAGCCCUUUUGUUGGGAAAGAAAUCCAGCUGGCUAAUACCCGGUUGGGAUGACGGUACCCAAAGAAUAAGCACCGGCUAACUUC